rnacentral:rRNA from 1 species
CCCUUAGAUGUUCUGGGCCGCACGCGCGCUACACUGAACAGUUCAACAAGUCUUAACCUUGGCCGAUAGGUCUGGGUAAUCUUUGAACGCUGUUCGUGAUUGGGAUAGACCUUUGCAAUUAUGGGUCUUCAACGAGGAAUUCCUAGUAAACGCAAGUCAUCAGCUUGCAUUGAUUACGUCCCUGCCCUUUGUACACACCGCCCGUCGCACCUACCGAUUGAAUGGUCCGGUGAAAUCUCGGGACGGCGGCUUGGUCGCUUGCGUCCGACUGCUGAAACUUGAUUAAACCAUAUCAUUUAGAGGAAGGUGAANUCGUAACA